UUGCCUCUCGCUCCGUCGCUCAUCCAUCUUGGUGACAAAGGCCUUGGCAUCGAUGUCCGAGGGGAGGUUGGUGGUGAUGGCGGCUGGGGAGGUAGGGUUGGGCUCCUAUGGGGUGCAAUCUCUGGUGGAGGGGUACUCCGGGAGGCAAGCCAUUUUCCAGGUGUUGUUCCACUCAUCAUUGCCAGUGGUGGUGGAAGGCGAGGAGGGUGGCAGCACAGCCUCGAUGUCUGCCUCAAAUCUCUCCUUGCCCAACGGCCCAACCUUGAUUGCUAGCUCUUCUCCCUCCACCGCUCCUCCCACCUUCUUGACCUUGCCUGCUCCGAUGCUGGUCUCCUCAUCUCUUCCAUCCACUCCACCGUCGACCUUGCUGAUCAGGUUAGCCAAAAGAAAGUGAAGAAGUUUUCAUUGGUUGGACAGAGCCAUGCAGCGGAAGUUCCAAAAAGCAAGGAGAACCGCUGAACAUCUCUGAUAGUACCAACAAUAGAUAAUCUUGUUGUUUUUUGCUUCCUGGGACUGAUUUUGUUGUCAUAUCAUGAGCGCUGGCUGAGGUGUAUUGGUGGGUUUGUUGCCACCAAAGGGAAAAUAAAGAUAAAGAGAAAUUUCGUAGUUGUACUGCAAAUCUCUUUCUUCGGACUUAUUUCAGUUAGUUCCAUUUUUUGAUCAGGAAGAUAUUGCUGUCUCAGCAGUAAUAGCUCUAAAACUUGGAUACCUUGUAAUGCUCAGUAAUGAUUUUGGUUUAGGGCAUCAGUUGUGAAUUUGGUUGCUAAUUUUUCUGUAUUUUAAUUUGCUCGCGAGGGACAACAGGGGCUGGUCUAAAUUCAGGUGAUAAUGGACAAACAUGUGGUCUUGGAA